rnacentral:lncRNA from 1 species
UAGUAGUAGAAAACCAAGCGAAUUCAUAGGUGAUCACAUGCAUGUCUGUGCAGCACAAGAUCCAAUGCACUUGAAGUCGUUGAAUUGGCCAUCGUAGACAUGGAAGAAACAGUAAGUGUAAGUUUCAGGAUUUAACAUAUCCACAUCCUUUGUGCGUAUGAGAUAAAAUUGUUCAUGACCAGUAAAUGAUACCCAUAGCUUUCACCAGUCAAUGUGGCUACAUACUUUGAGCAUAAGAGUAUAUCUAGACCAAAUUUUAGUUGAAAGUUCCCCAUACUAAUUCCUCUCCUUGUGGUGUUGAUCAGGAGCUUAAGUUGUUUGAAUGAUCAAAGAAUCUCCCAUUUUGUUGCUGUAAUUUUAUUCUCAUACAAAUGUGAUUCUUUUUCCAUGAUUGGUGCUGGUCACCACUAUGACCAUUUUCAUUUAGCUUGGCUGAGGCCAAGCCACUUCAACAAAGUGUUCUGUGUAUGAGUUUGUAUUGACUCUACCAAUAGACUUUGGUGUGGAGACAUUUUCAUAACAUGCCUCUAGUCUUUAUUCUAUAUAUAUAUAAAUAAAUAAAUAAAUGGUGUGGAGACAAUUUCAUAACAUCCCUCUA